ensembl:lncRNA
GUUAGAGUGAGGGUUAGAAUUAGAAUGAGGGUUUGAUUGAGGGUUAUGGGCUAGAAUGAGGGUUAAGUUCAUGGUUAUGGGUUAGAAUGAGGAUUAGGUUCAGGGUGCAGGGUUAAAAUGAGGGUUAGGUGCAGGGUUAUGGGUUAGAAUGAGGAUUAGGUUCACGGUGCAGGGUUAGAAUGAGGGUUAGGUUCGGGGUUAUGGGUUAGAAUGAGGGUUAGAUUGAGGGUUAGGGUUAGAAUGAGGGUUAGGUUCAGGGUUAUGGGUUAGAAUGAGGGUUAGGUUCAGGGUUAUGGGUUAGAAUGAGGAUUAGGUUUACGGUGCAGGGUUAGAAUGAGGGUUAGGUUCGGGGUUAUGGGUUAGAUUGAGGGUUAUGGGAUAGAAUUAGGGUUAGGUUCAGGGUUAUGGGUUAGAAUGAGGGUUAGAUUGAGGGUUAGAUUGAUGGUUAGAAUUAGAAUGAGGGUUAGAUUGAGGGUUAUGGGCUAGAAUGAGGGUUAGGUUCAGGGUUAUGGUUAAAAUGAGGGUUAGGUUCAGGGUUAUGGGUUAUAAUGAGGGUUAGAUAGAGGGUUAUUGGUUAGAAUGAGGGUUAGAUUGAGGGUUAUGGGAUAUAAUGAGGGUUAGAUAGAGGGUUAUUGGUUAGAAUGAGGGUUAGAUUGAGGGUUGGAAUUAGAAUGAGGGAUGUGUUGAGGGUUAGAUUGAGGGUUAGGUUCAGGGUUAUGGGUUAGAAUGAGGGUUAGAUUGAGGGUUAGGGUUAGGUUCAGGGUUAUGGGUUAGAAUGAAGGUUAGAUUGAGGGUUAGGGUUAGAGUGAGGGUUAGAAUUAAAAUGAGGGUUAGGUGCAGGGUUCUGGGCUAGAAUGAGGGUUAGAUUGAGGGUUAUGGGCUAGAAUGAGGGUUAAGUUCAGGGUUAGGGGUUAAAAUGAGGGUUAG